UGAGUUGUAGUUUAAUUUAGGCAAAACGUCAUUUUUUGGAGGUGAACAAUAGCAGUUCGAAUCUGUUUAACUCAG
rfam:Phlebia centrifuga strain FBCC195 PHLCENscaffold_2975, whole genome shotgun sequence.